UCCAUCUCAACUCUGGGGGUUCUGGGGGCGUCUCUUGGUUCUUUGUGGAAACUCUUUUGGAGAUGGCUGCGUGUUUGCUCCAAAACAUCUACUAAAGUGUGAAUGUCUAGGGAAUGGAAGGACAGCCUAACAGGAGCCACAGCCAUUUGCUGUGCACUGAGCGCACGUUGAGUUUCCCUAGCAAGAGUGGUUGAGAGCAAAACAAAAGUGAAACCAACAGUUGUGUUAUGGAUUUGGGUUAGGCCUAUAUCACAUUCUGAACAACACACACUGAACGAAGGAAUAACAGCCGUCCUGGGUACAUUGAACCGUUAAAGAUGGUUAAGGUAUUUUUCAAAGGCACUGGAUUUUCCGAGAGGUAUCUUGAAGAGAUCAAAGCUGAUCUCCAUAGACGACUUUGUGUGACUGAAGUCGGAGAGGAAGUGGAUUGUGAUGUCAUCGUGGUCCUCUGUCCCAUCGUCUCUCGAGCUGGAACUGAUGUUGAGGCUGCACUGAGUUCGAUUCCAAUCUCAAAGCCUACACUUCUUAUGGUGCUUCAUCGCACAUUCGACAAGGACGAAAUAUUACCCAACACCCAGAAGUAUGUCGAAGGGAGAGGAAGGACCCUAGACCUGCUUUUCAAUGAGGAAGAAGGUCUACUUUCUUGCAGUAGAAAUGAGAACUCCAAGGAAAUGGCUGCAGUUUUCCUCAGCGAAUUUGAAACACCUAACCGUGGAUGUAGGGCAAUCUGUUUAAAUUUCAUCCGUUCGCCUAAAGGCAAGGUUGUGGCCGUUUCAGUGUUGAUUUCAUCGGCCAUUUUAAUCAUUGUUUGUGUUUUGGCAAAAUCAGGAACAUUUCAGGAACCCUAAUAUUCCGGUUAGAUAACUCAUUCAAUAUCAAUCUAAGCAAUUCACAUAGGCAACUGAAAUCUGAUCUGAACCCUAAACCUUUAGGAACUUAAUAUGAAAAUUGGGCUUCAGUCUUAAAUACCAGAAGUGUUUUGUUAAGCACUAACAUGUUUUAUUUGAAAACAUUAAAAAGAUGAAUAUCAAUCAG